AGAGUUUGAUCCUGGCUCAGAACGAACGCUGGCGGCAGGCUUAACACAUGCAAGUCGGACGCACCUUCGGGUGAGUGGCAGACGGGUGAGUAACGCGUGGGAACGUGCCCUUCAGUUCGGAAUAACCCAGGGAAACUUGGGCUAAUACCGGAUACGUGCGAGAGCAGAAAGAUUUAUCGCUGAAGGAUCGGCCCGCGUCUGAUUAGCUAGUUGGUGGGGUAAUGGCCCACCAAGGCGACGAUCAGUAGCUGGUCUGAGAGGAUGAUCAGCCACAUUGGGACUGAGACACGGCCCAAACUCCUACGGGAGGCAGCAGUGGGGAAUAUUGGACAAUGGGCGCAAGCCUGAUCCAGCCAUGCCGCGUGAGUGAUGAAGGCCUUAGGGUUGUAAAGCUCUUUCGGCGGGGACGAUAAUGACGGUACCCGCAGAAGAAGCCCCGGCUAACUUCGUGCCAGCAGCCGCGGUAAUACGAAGGGGGCUAGCGUUGUUCGGAAUCACUGGGCGUAAAGGGCGCGUAGGCGGCUUGAUAAGUCGGGGGUGAAAGCCUGUGGCUCAACCACAGAAUUGCCUUCGAUACCGUCUGGCUUGAGACCGGAAGAGGUAAGUGGAACUGCGAGCGUAGAGGUGAAAUUCGUAGAUAUUCGCAAGAACACCAGUGGCGAAGGCGGCUUACUGGUCCGGUUCUGNNGCUGAGGCGCGAAAGCGUGGGGAGCAAACAGGAUUAGAUACCCUAGUAGUCC
rnacentral:rRNA from 1 species